rnacentral:rRNA from 1 species
AGAGUGCAGGAGAGGAUCGUGGAAUUCCAUGUGUAGCGGUGAAAUGCGUAGAUAUAUGGAGGAACACCAGUGGCGAAGGCGACGAUCUGGACUGCAACUGACGCUCAGUCCCGAAAGCGUGGGGAGCAAAUAGGAUUAGAUACCCUAGUAGUCCACGCCGUAAACGAUGAGUACUAAGUGUUGGGGGAAUAACUCAGUGCUGCAGUUAACGCAAUAAGUUCUCCGCCUGGGGAGUAUGCGCGCAAGUGUGAAACUCAAAGGAAUUGACGGGGGCCCGCACAAGCGGUGGAGUAUGUGGUUUAAUUCGAAGCAACGCGAAGAACCUUACCAGGCCUUGACAUCCCCGGCGAAGACAUGGAGACAUGUUGGAGGUUAACCGGGAGACAGGUGGUGCAUGGUUGUCGUCAGCUCGUGUCGUGAGAUGUUGGGUUAAGUCCCGCAACGAGCGCAACCCUUGUGAUAUGUUACUAACAGUAAGAUGAGGACUCAUAUCAGACUGCCGGUGACAAACCGGAGGAAGGUGGGGAUGACGUCAAAUCAUCAUGCCCCUUAUGGCCUGGGCUACACACGUACUACAAUGGCGGCUACAAAGAGCGGCGAACCCGCGAGGGGGAGCGAAUCUCAUAAAGGUCGUCUCAGUUCGGAUUGAAGUCUGCAACCCGACUUCAUGAAGUUGGAAUCGCUAGUAAUCGCGAAUCAGCAUGUCGCGGUGAAUACGUUCUCGGGCCUUGUACACACCGCCCGUCAAACCAUGGGAGUUGGUAAUACCCGAAGCCGGUGGCAUAACCGCAAGGAGUGAACCGUCGAGGGUAGGAUCGAUGACUGGGGUUAAGUCGUAACAAGGUAACCA